CAAAGAUACUUUUCUGAAGUGGAGAGUUUCCUCUGGCUUGGCAAAUCUCCACAGGGCAUCACAAAGCAAGCAUCAAAAGUAAUAGUUCGGGGUGAACUCGACCUAGUUACAUUAAUAACGAGAGGACUAACAAUAGAAGGGGAAAAGAAAGGGUUGCAACAUAAGAGGAUCAAACCAGUUUUAGCUUUACCUUGGUUGGAGUUGGCGCUGGAAUAGCUGUCUAUGAUUCUGGAUGGGGUGGUGCUCUUUUGACCUGGGUGUGAUGAGUCCAUCCUCUUUCUGCUGUUCGAACUGUGGCCUUGGUGGUUAGAAACACUAGGUAGGGCCCUUCCCAAGCUGGUUUGAGUUUUCCUUCUCUCCAACUUUUGAUGAGGAUAUGGUCCCCAGGUUGAUGUUGGUGUACUGGAAACUGUAGGGGUGGUGCCUGUGCUAAAAAACCUUUAGUUAUGAGGGAAGAGAAAGUGGAAGAUAAACCAAGUAUAUAAUUUCUGAGAAACUGAUCUUCUGUUUCAAAUGUAGGAAGACCAGUAGUAGAAUGUAGAUAAGGCAAUCCAUAGAGCAUCUCAUAAGGGGAUAGGCCUAUAUCUUUUCAGGGAGCAGUUCGGACUCUCAACAGGGAAAUAGGCUUUCCUACUUUCCCUGAUGAGGGUGGAUGCCGUGGUGUGUGGUAUUCUCAUUUUCUUUUAGGGUUUGUUUAUUGGUUUUUCUGCACACUAUACAACUAUCUGCAACUUGUCUAGCAAGGGUAUAAAUUCCUAUGCAUCCAUAAACUCUAAGGACUGCAUCACACAUAGCUUGGGGGCCCCAGUGAGUUCCUUGAUGUAGCUGUGACAAUAUCUCUCACAUGAGGGGCUUAGACAGCAUUUCUCUCGUCUGGUAGUACCCAUUUUCCCUCAUGGCUUUCUUUGGCUCCUAUUUCUUCUAGCUUUUCUUGCUCUCUGGGGGAGAAGAUAGGGACUACAGCUGGAGCGGGAAGAUAAGGGGUUAGGUGGAAAAUGGGUGCUGCUUGAGAAGAGGCAGCUUGUUUGGCUACUGGUUAGCUAUGUUAUUCCCUCAGCUCUCGAAGGAAAGAUUCUUCUAGUGAUCUGGAACAUGAACAACCGCUAUCUCUUCUGGCAGCUGUAAGUUCUCUAGUACUUGCAUUAUUAAGUCUCUAUGGACUAAGUUUUGGCCUUUACUGUUAAUGAGACCUCGCUCUGCCCAGAUUUUCAAAGGUGUGGAUGACUCCAAAGGCAUACCUGGAGUCAGUAUGAAUAGCUCCUUUCUGGUUUUGCAGAAAUUUUAAGGGUUGAUUUAGUGCAAACAACUCACGUGUUUGUGCAGAGCAGUCAUUAGGUAAUCUUCCUGAUUCUAUUUUUGUGAGGGUGUCUCCAUCUACUACUGAGUACCUGUUAGGUCUUUUCUCUUUUGUCACUUGAGAAGAACCAUCUACAAAAAGGUGUCUUUCAGUUUGAAAGGGAGUUCCAAUUUCUCUGGCAUCUUGGAGGGACAACUGUGAGACUGGGGCUUGUCUAUGGUGAGAAUUUCUAGGAGGGGGCAAGCAAGAGAGAGAAGCUGGAUACUGAGGAUGGGGUGGACCCGGGGUGGACCCGGAGAAGCAGGGCUGGAGGGAGCUGGCUCCCCUGCUGAAGGUGCCUCUGGGAUUCAUUUCUUUAGUUCCCUGGGAUUGCACCUUGUAGCCUCACCUAAGAUGGCAAACAGGAGGGCUGGAUCAAUCCUAACACUGUUGGCAAAGGUCUGGAUUAUUGUCCUGAAAGGUGUAGAAAUCCUGCAAAUAGGAGGCCUGCGAUCAUUUGUCCUCACAGUUACAGAAAAGGUUCAACGGGAGGAUGGUAUUGAAAUGAAUGGUUCCUUCCUGAGGCCAAGCCAGCCCUUCCUGUAAGUCAUAAUUUGGCCAAACCUUUGUGCAGAGGGCUAUGAGGCAUUUUUCUUCCAGAGUCUGAAGGUCAAACAGUCCCAGAGAUUCGGGAUACACCCCAGAGGAGUAUAAACUGGGGAUGGUGAGGAUAGCUGGUUGCCCAUUCUGAAAGGAAACAGAUGUCCCUCAUUUUCCUUCCUUCUCUCAGCAAUAACUCGGGGUGUGAGGGAGAGAGAAAGCAGGUGUUCCUCACUUUCUCUGCCAUCUUUUCAUCCCUGACUCCUGGUGACCUUGGCAGUGAGUGGGUGCAGAGACCAGGAUGAACACUUCUGGGUAGCCAGCAGGAACAGAACUCCAUAUGGGCCCAUAGCAGUGUCUAGGGGUAGCCUGUGACCCCUGGGGCCUCAGAGGGCAUGUGUUACAGUGUGCUGUUUUAGCUUUGCCAUCCAUGAAUGGCUUAACUAUUAGAUAACUCAGUGGAGGGUCAGUGUGACAGCUUCUUGAACCCAUACCUGGGUCUUUGUCUAGUGACCAGGAGGAAUCAGGUUGCAUGAACAAAUUGAAGAUAACAAAUGUGGAGGAUUUCACUGCUGAUGAAAGUGGCUUUCAGUGGGAUGGGGAGGUAGCAAGGGGAUGGAUUGGGAAGGUGGUCUUACCCUGGAGUUUGGCCAGCCCUGGCCGGCCGAACUCUUCUCCGAGGUUUCGCUGUUGAGCCAUAACUCUGAAGUCAAGUUGCUUCUCACCGAUGUCAAGCUGCUGCUUCUCUCCUUCUCUGCCACACUGCUCUGCUCCUUUGCCGGUAGAGUCUGGGGUUUUAAUGGAUACAGAAUGGGGGGCAGGGUGGGCCAGGGUGGGUUUGGAAAAGGCAACAUUCGGGUGGAAAAACAGGAGUGCAUGUUCUCACUUUGGAAAGCAGUUCCAGGCUUGAGGGUGGAGCCCUCACCAGGGACCCUGCACUUUUCUACCUAGCAUUUCCCUGCCUACAGUCUGUAUCACUGUGACCUGGAAUCCCCCUCCUAACUUCAAGUUGUCUUGCCUUUGCUUCAAGUUGUCCUGCCUUUUCCAGACAAAAUCAUUGUUCAUCUUACAUAUGUUGACUGAUGUGUCAUGUCUCCCUAAAAUGUACAAAACCAAACUGUGCUCAGACCACCUUGGGUACAUGCCGUCAGGACCUCUGGAGGCUGUGUCAUAGGCAUGUGUCCUCAAUCUUGGCAAAAUAAUCUAAGUUGACUGAGACCUAUCUCAGAUUUUCAGGGUUCACGUUUUGGUAACCAUUAAGGGAUUCUGAGUGGAGGUGCCCCAGACCUUUGACAAAUCUCCUAUCAGUGCUUGGUAUCUGCUUGAGCUAUCUUUGUGGCUCAAACCAAUGAGACAAUUUACUGAGGCCUGGAAGUACCCCUUCUGGAGAAUCCCU
rnacentral:lncRNA from 1 species